rnacentral:rRNA from 1 species
UACGAGGGGUCCUAGCGUUGUUCGGAAUCAUUGGGCGUAAAGGGUGUGUAGGUGGCUAUGUAAGUCAGGUGUGAAAGCCCCGGGCUCAACCCGGGAAGUGCAUCUGAUACUGCGUAGCUUGAGUACCGAAGAGGAUAGUGGAAUUCCAGGUGUAGUGGUGAAAUACGUAGAUAUCUGGAGGAACACCGGUGGCGAAGGCGGCUAUCUGGUCGAGUACUGACACCGAUGACACGAAAGCAUGGGGAUCAAACAGG